GCCACNGGGACCGCGUUCACGCCGCGGGCCCGUAACUCCCUCCGUGCUGCUCUUAACCGAGUGGUUCGGUGGGCCGGCACGUUUACUUUGAACAAAUUUGAGUGCUCAAAGCAGGCCUUAUGUUGCCUGAAAACUGUGUGCAUGGAAUAAUGGAAUAGGACCUUGGUUCUAUUUUGUUGGCUUUUCUGAACUCGAGGUAAUGAUUAAUAGGGACAGACGGGGGCAUUCGUAUUACGACGUUAGAGGUGAAAUUCUUGGAUCGUCGUAAGACGAACCGAUGCGAAAGCGUUUGCCAAGAAUGUUUUCGCUAAUCAAGAACGAAAGUUAGAGGUUCGAAGGCGAUCAGAUACCGCCCUAGUUCUAACCAUAAACGAUGCCAGCCAGCGAUGCGCCGAAGUUCUUCCGAUGACUCGGCGCGCAGCUUCCGGGAAAACCAAAGCUUUUGGGUUCCGGGGGAAGUAUGGUUGCAAAGCUGAAACUUAAAGGAAUUGACGGAAGGGCACCACCAGGAGUGGAGCCUGCGGCUUAAUUUGACUCAACACGGGA
rnacentral:rRNA from 1 species